GCUGCCAUCCUACUGAGGAAAAAGACAUCAUUCUAAUGUACUGUAAUAAAUUCUGAUCAUGAAAUCAGCCCAUUAGGAAGCACCUCUUGGAGAUCAUGGAUAACAUGCUAGGAAAAUGCAUCCUUUUUUAGUGGGCUUAUCAAAAAUAGUGAUGACGUACAUCUUGCCAAACCUAUUGCAACCUCCCCUUAGCAAGAACAUGUGAAAUGUUUUCAACUGGGAAGUCGGAUACAGAAGCAUCAUCCACAGUUUUUAUUGGGCCGAGUCAAAUAGGGGGCCUCUACCUGGUUGAAUUAUUAAGGGAUAAUUGAUCAUGUCUGUAACUUGCUCUCAAAUGGUUCAGCCAAAUGUCAGAAAUGUCAGAGAGACAGAGAGAAGGAGACAGGAGGAAGGGAGAGAGAAAGAGAAAAAGAGAAGAUAUAGUAAAGGUGGCAAAAUGAUGAAAAUUGGCAAAUGUACGUAAAGGCAUACAGAACUUCGAUGAACGAUUCUUGCAACCUUUAUAUAAUUCUGAAGGCUUUUAAAAAAAUGGCAAGCUUUCAAAUAAAAGCAAUUUAGGAAUU
rnacentral:lncRNA from 1 species